rnacentral:rRNA from 1 species
CUACGGGCUGCUCCAGUAACGAAUAUUGGGCAAUGGGCGAAAGCCUGACCCAGCAAUGCCGCGUGUAGGAUGAAGCCCCUCGGGGUGUAAACUAUAGUCAGGGAUUAGAAAGCUACGGUUGAUCAAUCCCAGAGGAAGUCACGGCUAACUUCGUGCCAGCAGCCGCGGUAAUACGAAGGUGGCAAGCGUUAUUCGAAAUCACUGGGCUUAAAGGGCGCGUAGGCGGACAUGCAAGUGUCUUGUGAAAUCCCCCGGCUUAACCGGGGAAUUGCUCGGCAAACUGCAUGUCUUGAGUCAAGUAGGGGUGUGUGGAACUCUUGGUGGAGCGGUGGAAUGCGUAGAUAUCAAGAGGAACGCCGAAGGUGAAGACAGCACACUGGGCUUGAACUGACGCUGAGGCGCGAAAGCGUGGGGAGCAAACAGGAUUAGAUACCCGAGUAGUC